rnacentral:rRNA from 1 species
CAGCAGCCACGGUAAUACGUAGGGUGCGAGCGUUAAUCGGAAUUACUGGGCGUAAAGCGUGCGCAGGCGGUUGUGUAAGACAGGUGUGAAAUCCCCGGGCUUAACCUGGGAACUGCGCUUGUGACUGCACAGCUAGAGUAUGGCAGAGGGGGGUGGAAUUCCACGUGUAGCAGUGAAAUGCGUAGAGAUGUGGAGGAACACCGAUGGCGAAGGCAGCCCCCUGGGCCAAUACUGACGCUUAUGCACGAAAGCGUGGGGAGCAAACAGGAUUAGAUACCCCGGUAGUCCCUGUCUCUUAUAA